UACGGAGGGGACUAGCGUUGUUCGGAAUCACUGGGUUUAAAGGGUGCGUAGGCGGCUAAAUAAGUCAGAGGUGAAAGCUUGCAGCUUAACUGCGAAAUUGCCUUUGAUACUGUAUAGCUUGAAAGGAGCUGAGGUCAGCAGAAUGUGGCAUGUAGCGGUGAAAUGCAUAGAUAUGCCAUAGAAUACCAAUUGCGAAGGCAGCUGGCUGGGCUUACUUUGACGCUGAGGCACGAAAGCGUGGGGAUCGAACAGG
rnacentral:rRNA from 1 species